rnacentral:misc_RNA from 1 species
GUAACAAGGUUUCCGUAGGUGAACCUGCGGAAGGAUCAUUACCGAGUGAGGGCCCUCUGGGUCCAACCUCCCACCCGUGUCUAUCGUACCUUGUUGCUUCGGCGGGCCCGCCGUUUCGACGGCCGCCGGGGAGGCCUUGCGCCCCCGGGCCCGCGCCCGCCGAAGACCCCAACAUGAACGCUGUUCUGAAAGUAUGCAGUCUGAGUUGAUUAUCGUAAUCAGUUAAAACUUUCAACAACGGAUCUCUUGGUUCCGGCAUCGAUGAAGAACGCAGCGAAAUGCGAUAAGUAAUGUGAAUUGCAGAAUUCAGUGAAUCAUCGAGUCUUUGAACGCACAUUGCGCCCCCUGGUAUUCCGGGGGGCAUGCCUGUCCGAGCGUCAUUGCUGCCCUCAAGCACGGCUUGUGUGUUGGGCCCCCGUCCCCCUCUCCCGGGGGACGGGCCCGAAAGGCAGCGGCGGCACCGCGUCCGGUCCUCGAGCGUAUGGGGCUUUGUCACCUGCUCUGUAGGCCCGGCCGGCGCCAGCCGACACCCAACUUUAUUUUUCUAAGGUUGACCUCGGAUCAGGUAGGGAUACCCGCUGAACUUAAGCAUAUCA